CCGAAGUCCGAAUAUCGAUUCUUGAUUCAACGGAUAAUAACGGAUUUUUUCAGAUAGUUAAAUCAAAUUUCAUCCAUGAGUUGUUCUUUAUUAUUCCUUAUUUUUUUGACUUUGAUGCAACAUAAACGAAUUGAACUGUGAACGUGUUUUUCUGCAGCGUGGGUUGUCAAAAUAAUAACUUUCUUCAUAGCAUGCAGCCUCGAGAUUUGAUUUGCGAUCUUUAGUAAAAAAAAUUAAUUCGUAUCAAUCUUUUUUUUUGUUGAUUCUUAUAGCAUAUAUUUCUUGGUUGUUUUUAUUUACUCUUUGGUGUUUCAGUAGAGGAUGUGGUUUUGAUUUCAUGAUAUCUUGAUCAGUUUUACUAUUAAUUUGUUGGCAGAAUGCUGGAGUUCUCAUGUGAUUUUUCUGUUUUAGGGUGUUUCCAAUUUAGUAUCGGAUAAUGGUAAUGCUUUGCGUUACUUGAUACAUGGUUAUAACUAAAUGUUUGAUUGUGAAUUGAAACUGCAUCUGUUUUCUGUCGUGUCGUCUGUUUGAAGCAAUAACUUGCUUUGUAGCAUCAAACAAUCAAGUUCGUUUUGGCACACUCUUCUUGAUUGGGAAUCAUUUUCAUAUAAUUUAUUCUCUGGAGUUUUAUUGUCCCUGUGUUAUCAAAUUAUUACUCCUUUACACAUUAGGUUUUCUUACAUAAGUUUUUGACAAUGUAAAAGCCCUGUUGAUCAGUGACUUGGCCCAUAGCAUUCAUCUCCACCGUAACCUUAGGUGUUGUUUCUUAUGAUCAUCUAUUUUGUUGGGUAUAACUUAAUUUUGUUGGGCGAGGCUUUAGUUAGUGUUGUACUAUUUUGUUAUAUUUAUUGUUAUAUGUGAUUUAUGCUGUUAAAAAGAUAUCCGCUUCAUUUUACUGUAUUAGGAGGAAUCGAAAAUUGGGUCAUAUGGGUACAUGAUGUGAAAAGAAUUUGUUCCAGUGAAUGAUCAUCUUCUGAAGGCUUUAAUCUGGUCAUAUCUUCUACGAAUCUUGACAUUUCAGCUAGUUUACUCAGUAUCUACUUCUUCAGUUCUGUUAUUUGUGUUGGUUUUACAGGGGAGAGGUUCACAUGCGUUCCUUUCAGCCAAUAAAUGUGCGGAACUGGUGGCAGGCAGAGGUUUACAUACUUUUCAUACAGCCUUGGGAUAAAACAGUGCCGUAAGGACUCGUCUGUACUACAUGUUGGAGAACUAGUAUCUGCUGUCCUUUACUAAAUUGGUAUGCUUCACAAAUUGUGAAAUCACAAAACCGACCUGAUGACAAGAAACCAUCAUUUGGCUAAUCUUAUCAAAUAUCGGGAUCAACCAGACCGACCUGAUCUUUCUGCUCCUCAAAGCUUGCAAUUGUAUCUGAGAUUUGACCAGCUGAUAAUUGCCGCUGAAUUUGAACUCUGGCAGGUUGGCAAUUUUCAUUUUUCUUUACAUAUUCAAGGUGUUUGUUUUACAUUUUCUUUAGAACUAGAGCAUGAAAAGGAGCAAAAUUUGAUGAUGGCUAAUCUCAUAUGCUCUAAUCUUGAAAAUAAGACUAAUAGCAGAACAACAAUAUUUUACUUUCCCUCGUUUGCAUUCCCGGUAGUAUAUAGAUAUUUGUUUUCCAAAUCUUACUAUCUGCUUUUGUUUAUGUUUUGUCUCUACUCAGCUCUCAAGGUCUUCACUUGCUGAACUGGUAGGAUAUUCUCAUUAUUUGAAGCACAAAGCACAAUGCUUUGAUCUGGCUUUCUGUAUUGUAACGAUUCAGUUCUCUGUAGUGUCAACUAUCAAGCCUUAUUUUUGGUUCAUUGUUUCUCUGUUGAUUCUUACUGUUUAUUCUUUUUGAUUUUCAAAAGAUAAAUAUAUGAAUGUGCGAUUAUGGCAGAGAUUAUAAUUGGUUUUUGAAGUUUAUAUGAUUUUUAAGAAUCUGUGUGUGUAUUUUAGUUUUGUGCAGUGACCCAAGGACUCCUUCAUAUUACGAGGAUUGCCUCAAUUAUGCAAUUUCAUGUUGAGUACAAGAUCUUCCAAACCGGGUGGAAAAUCAUUGCGAUGAACAUAGGCUGUGUCGAAUACUUGCCACUAUUGCAAGGCUUAAAUUUGGUCAUUUCUACUGACACAACUGUGCCAUCAUUAUAGUCUUUGUUUGAUACUCAGCAUCUAUUGUUUGCAGUUCCGUGAGUUUUAUGUGUGGGUGUUGAAUGUGCAGUGUGCUGUAGAGCCUGUGGCAGGAUGAGGUUAACAUACUUUCCAUUCAAUUCAGCCUUGGGAUCCGUUACUGUUACAUAUAUGUGUUUUGUCUUGCUAGUCUUGGCGAUUAAUGUUUUGCCCGGAGAAGCAAUUUAAAGGCAAUCUGGCCCUCAAGAUUGACAUUUGGAAGGCUUUGAUACUCUUGAAUGGAGCUUUCUUCUUAUGGCUUUGGGUCAGAUUGACAUUCAGAAGGAUUUUUGAUACUCUUGAAUGAAGUGUUUAAUUUAAUUCAAAUGCUGAAUAAAUUAUAGAAUUUAGUCUAAAUGUUGGAAUUAUAUCGAAUAGAAUGUUAUGAAAUUAUAUAAAUAGUUUUUUUAGCAUUUUAUAUAUAAUUUCUUAUGACUUGAUGACCCAUCUAAACUAUCUUACUCAUAAUUGUUUGGGUUGGUUUGAGUUUGACAGAAAAAUUAUGGAUUUCUUGCUUAUUUGAACCGGUGGAAUUUGAUUAGGUAGCACAUUGGGCCAAAACCGACACACGUACACCCCCCAAGUGUAAAACUACUUGCUGCUGCUGUAAGUCCUAUGCUUUCCGUUCAGCCAAUAAAUGUGCGGAACCGGUGGCAGGCAGAGGUUUACAUACUUUUCAUACAGCCUUGGGAUAAAACAGGUAAUUUUUGGCUUACAUGUGUAUUUGUUUUGGGAGAGUGUUGUAGUUUAUGUGUAUCUGUAGCAUGAACGCGAGUAUGAAGCAUUUAAGAUUCUAGACUACAUCACUUUUCCCUCCCCAAGCUUUAAGUUUUGAUUUCCUUAUCUCUGUUAAAAUCUAAGUCUUCAAUAAUUUUUUUCCGCUUGAUAUCAGGGUUUUCCGUACUUGUUUCUUUUUCGCUUGGUAGGGAUUUCUGUAUUGAUAAGCUUUUCUCAGAAUCUCAAGAAUUUCACACAAUCACAUUUGUUUUCAAAACACUGUUUUGCAUUUAAUUUUUAUGGCAGCAUGUUGUAGUCAUUUUAAUCGAGUAAUAUGUAAUUGUGAAUUGAAACGUGUAGCUGUUGAUUACAGUUUAGUGUGUAGAUAGUGGUAAUGUUUUGGGAAACUUGAUACAUGGUUAUAACCUCAGUGUUGAAUUGUGAAUUGAAACUGCAUCUGUUUGCCGCUGUGUCGUCUGUUUUAAAGCAAUUACUUACUUUGUGGUAUCAAGCAAUCAGGUUUGUUUUGGCACACUUUUCUUGUUUGGAAUCAUUUUCAUAUCAUAAUUAUUCUCUAGAGUUUUAUUGUCCCUUUGUUAUCAAUUUACUCCUUUACACCUUUGGUUUUCUUACAUUUAAUUUUUUGACAAUGUAAUCUGACAGCCAAAUUUUCCACGAUUCUCGAGAAACCGGGACAACUUCAUAAAUGUCUUGCUGAUCGGUGACUUGGUUUAGCGAGUUAAGCUAGUCUUCUUUCCUUUUUUUUUUUUUUUGACAACUUUUUGUUUUAUUAUUUUUUCUCUACAUAUCAUAUGGUGUUCACUGGUAAAGUGUUACAUCUAGGCUUAAUCUGGCGAUCUGAAUUAAAUUUGAGAUAUAAACAAAUUUUUAGGGAUUUAAGUAUUCACUCAUGAAGAUAAAUUGAAUCCAAUCACAUGAAGCUAGAGACCAAAUACUCAUUUUUGUUGCUGCAAGUGAAGCUAGCAUAGAUAGAUAACCUUGUCAAACAACUAAAUGUGCAGCCAAAAUCGUUUCUUAGUGUUGGUCAACUUUGACUACAUGUAUAUAUCAGAUCUGUAUUUCGAUGCCUAUCUAUUGAAAUAGUUUAGUCCCAUAGGCAGUUGAUUUCACAUUAGAGGAAUUAAAGUCGUCGAGGGUGUAUCAAAGGUAUUGCUUCAUAGGUGAAUAGUGUAAUUGUUGGUCCCUCCCUACACUUAGAAACUUCUUGUGCUUCUCAUUUAUUGUAUGUAACUAUUCUUAUCUUUCAUUUGUUUGAAUUGUUCAUGCAUUGACUUUGAAUUAUUCUGCUGCCACCUACUACCUUGAAACAAAUUAUUCUUAAGUAGUGUUGGGGUUCUGGUGUUUGCUUGCUGAUUAUUUCUAUAAUUCAUGCUUCGAGUUCAUAUUUGCUAGAUGAGAUCUAACCUGUUCAAAUGCAGGAACAACCGUAGAAUGCAUAUUGGCUGAAUGAAGUUAAACUCAAAUGCAGGAGUUCUCAUGUGAUUUUUCUAUUUUAUGGUGUUUCCAAUUUAGUAUCGGAUAAUGCAUCAAACAAACAAGUUCGUUUUGGCACAUUCUUCUUGAUUAUUACUCCUUUACACAUUAGGUUCUUACAUUUAAUCUGGUAAUAUCUUCUACGAAUCUUUACAUUUCAGCUAGUUUACUCAGUAUCUACUUCUGCAGUUCUUUUAAGUUAUUUGUGUGGGUACAGGUUCACAUGCUUUCGGUUCAGCCAUUCCCAAAACAAAUACUUGUUGUGUAGCAUCAAACAAACAAGUUCGUUUUGGCACAUUCUUCUUGAUUAUUACUCCUUUACACAUUAGGUUCUUACAUUUAAUCUGGUAAUAUCUUCUACGAAUCUUUACAUUUCAGCUAGUUUACUCAGUAUCUACUUCUGCAGUUAUUUGUGUGGGUACAGGUUCACAUGCUUUCGGUUCAGCCAAUAAAUGUGCGGAACCGGUGGCAGGCAGAGGUUUACAUACUUUUCAUACAGCCUUGGGAUAAAAUAGGUAAUUUUUGGCUUACAUGUGUAUUUGUUUUGGGAGAGUGUUGUAGUU